UACGUAGGGCGCAAGCGUUAUCCGGAAUUAUUGGGCGUAAAGAGCUCGUAGGCGGUUUGUCGCGUCUGCCGUGAAAGUCCGGGCUCAACUCCGGAUCUGCGGUGGGUACGGCAGACUAGAGUGAUGUAGGGGAGACUGGAAUUCCUGGUGUAGCGGUGAAAUGCGCAGAUAUCAGGAGGAACACCGAUGGCGAAGGCAGGUCUCUGGGCAUUAACUGACGCUGAGGAGCGAAAGCAUGGGAGCGAACAGG
rnacentral:rRNA from 1 species